rnacentral:rRNA from 1 species
UACGUAGGGUGCGAGCGUUAAUCGGAAUUACUGGGCGUAAAGGGUGCGCAGGCGGUCCCGCAUGUCGGGCGUGAAAUCCCCGGGCUUAACCUGGGAAUGGCGUCCGAAACUAUGGGACUGGAGUGUGGCAGAGGGAGGUGGAAUUCCACGUGUAGCGGUGAAAUGCGUAGAGAUGUGGAGGAAUACCGAUGGCGAACGGCAGCCCCUGG